CCCCGUCCUGCUGCCCCGGACAGGAAGGUGCCGCGGGGGAGCGGAAUCAGCUUCAGCAUCAGCGGAUGGGCAGCACGGGAGCCUUCAUUGCCCGUCCUCUUCACCCCAACAAAAGCCUUUGUCCACGUUUCUCCCAAACACUGCGAGUUUGGUUCUUAUAGAAACCUUUUUUUUUUAAUUUUAAAUACCAUUCUCCCAAGAGCUGACGUAUCAUGUCUGUCUCCGAAGUAUCACAGCAAACUGCUGCAGAGGAAGAGAGGUGGAGGAAAUCACUUUGGGCCAUACUCCUACAACUGGCUGGAGACCAAGUCUUAAAUAAAUUACUUCCCAAGAAAUUGUUACUGCUCCAGAAGAGGAAAAACCACAGCAGUUUUUUUGCCUGAUCUUUAAAAGUAAUGAGCAAUCCCAGCUGUUGGAUCUGCUCAGCAUCUCUGAAAAUUUACAUACUCCGUGUUAAAUCUUGUGUAACACCAAGACAUGGAAAGAAGCUGUCAUGGUGAGGAUGUUGAUCAUUGACCACUGGCAUAGAUUGCUCAGGGAGGUUAUGUGGAGUCUCCAUCCUUGAAGAUAUUCAGAAGCCACGAUCACAGAUAAAAGGUCACAGUCCCGGUCUGUCUGCACCAGAUGACCCUGCUUGAGCAGACAAGUGGACCAGGCUCUACACAUUUAAAAAAAUAAUGAGUUACAGCCACACAGUA